UGAAUCUAAAAACUUAACUUACAACAACUCUCAGCAACGGAUAUCUUGGCUCUUGCAACGAUGAAAAACGCA
rnacentral:rRNA from 1 species